rnacentral:rRNA from 1 species
AAAUUUGAGAGUUUGAUCCUGGCUCAGGAUGAACGCUGGCGGCGUGGAUAAGGCAUGCAAGUCGAACGA